GGGCAUCCCAGGAAGACGGUGCUGGAGAGAAUUUACAGGGUUGGACCUUGUAUUAGGUAAUUUGGGGGAGGGUUCCAGGAAGCAGGCCUUCUCUCUGGAUUGGAUGCUGUUAAGGAGAUGAAGGACUCCUUGAGCAAAUGGCUGAUUCCAGAGCUGCGGCACAGGAGGUACAAGAUGAGCCUGGAACAUCUUCUUGUGCUAUAAAGUGUUUGCUUGGACAGGAAGGCAAAUGAAGAUGGUUCUCCUUCUUGGCUACUAUUGAAGGCUGAGUCAUUGAGCUUCUGCAGAAGUUGGAAGAGGCAAUCCUUAGCGGAAACAUUUAAGAACCAGGGGUUCCCUGAGAGAACCCUUCUUUUGAUCUGGAGUUAUCUGUUACUGACCACAGACAGCUGCUACUGACAAUUCCCGGGACAGGGCCCUGUAGAGUGAG